AGAUUGAACGCUGGCGGCAGGCCUAACACAUGCAAGUCGAGCGGUAGAGAGGUGCUUGCACCUCUUGAGAGCGGCGGACGGGUGAGUAAUGCCUAGGAAUCUGCCUAGUGGUGGGGGAUAACGUUCGGAAACGGCGCUAAUACCGCAUACGUCCUACGGGAGAAAGCGGGGGACCUUCGGGCCUCGCGCCAUUAGAUGAGCCUAGGUCGGAUUAGCUAGUUGGUGAGGUAAUGGCUCACCAAGGCGACGAUCCGUAACUGGUCUGAGAGGAUGAUCAGUCACACGUGGAACUGAGACACGGUCCAGACCUCGUACGGGAGGCAGCGAGUAGGGAAUAGUGAACAAGUGGGACGAAAGCCUAGACGUACCAGACCAGUCGGCCGACGU
rnacentral:rRNA from 1 species